GAAGAAGCAGCAGCAGCAGAGAGGAGGAAUGGAGGAGGACGGCACUUCAGCGGCACUUUUCCCUCGAAAAAGUCAAGGUGAAACCAACUGUUAUUUCCACAACCCGGUUCGAUCAGUCCCUCGUGGAGAGAGUCUGAAGCCCCGCGUGCGCGGAUCGUGCGCUUCCCACGUGGGCUGAAACGUGUCCGAUCAGUGUGUGAGAAAUGUGGCUGCAGAAGAGGAGGCGGGAGGAGACACUCCAGACUCUGAGCAGGGAGGAAGAGAGGAAGUGUUCUGCCUGAUGGGGAGGAAGAUGCUCCAGAAGCUCCCCGAGCGGCGGAGGACGGCGCUGAACUGGAGAUCCACGCAUCGCUCCGUCGUAAGAUAAAGAGCUGCCAGGCCGAGCAGCAGCGUGAAGACACUGAAUCGGCACACCACAUCUGGUCUGUGGAGAGAUGAAGGCCUUCAGUCGGGACGGUACCUGUGAAGGUCUGUGGGGAGAUGAAGGCCUUCAGUCGGGACGGUUCCUGUGAAGAUUCAGCUCUGUAAGGCGAGGGUUUUUCCACCCUGAGCUCAGGCUGACAGGAUACACGUCUUGUUCAGCCACCAGGCGGCGCUGUGCCGGGAGCUGCUGGGCCACCUGGAGCCUCAGCAGCAGGGAUUCAUGAUCCAGCAGAGACGAGAGAGACGCCCCCUGGAGGCCAGGUCUGCCAGCAGGGAGGGCUUCAGACCGGAGUGACUCUCAGAGGUCGGUCCUGAAACACUGGAGCUCCUCUGUUGCACCAUGUGUUUGAGUGUCUCGGAGAGCGAGGACAAUCUGUCUUCUGGUUCUGAAGACGAGCAUCAGAGGUGUCUGAAGAUCAUACAGCAUGGACCUCCACCGCCGGGCCCGGACCUCCACCGCCGGGUCCGAGCCGGUUUAAAUGUUCUCAGUCUUAAAGUUUGUCAUCAUCUCAUGUGUAAUUCUAUUUGUUACCGUCUCUUGUUGCACAAAUGUUUAAUGAUUCCUCGUUUAUAUUCAUGGUUUGUAUUUUUGCUUCAUUGCAGUGUUGUGACGUCUCAGAAUUUAAAAAAAAAAGUCCAAUAAAGAGACUCAAACUUGA